CCUACGGGUGGCAGCAGUAGGGAAUCUUCCACAAUGGGCGAAAGCCUGAUGGAGCAACGCCGCGUGGGUGAAGAAGGUCUUCGGAACGUAAAACCCUGUUGUUAGAGAAGAAAGUGCGUGAGAGUAACUGUUCACGUUUCGACGGCAUCUAACCAGCAAGCCACGGCUAACUACGUGCCAGCAGCCGCGGGAAUACGUAGGUGGCAAUCGUUAUCCGGAUUUGUUGGGAGUAAAGGGAACGCAGGCGGUCUUUUAAGUCUGAUGUGGAAGCCUUCGGCUUAACCGGAGUAGUGCAUUGGAAACUGGUAGACUUGAGUGCAGAAGAGGAGAGCGGAAUGCCAUGUGGAGCGGUGAAAUGCGUAGAUAGAUGGAAGAACACCAGUGGCGAAGGCGGCUCUCUGGUCUGUAACUGACGCUGAGGUUCGAAAGCGUGGGUAGCAAACAGGAUUAGAUACCCCUGUAGUC
rnacentral:rRNA from 1 species